rnacentral:rRNA from 1 species
CUGCACCAGAAGUAGAUAGCUUAACCUUCGGGGGGGCGUUUACCACGGUGUGGUUCAUGACUGGGGUGAAGUCGUAACAAGGUAGCCCUAGGGGAACCUGGGGCUGGAUCACCUCCUUAACGA